rnacentral:rRNA from 1 species
AGUGAACGCUGGCGGUAGGCCUAACACAUGCAAGUCGAACGGCAGCACAGUAAGAGCUUGCUCUUACGGGUGGCGAGUGGCGGACGGGUGAGGAAUACAUCGGAAUCUACUUUUUCGUGGGGGAUAACGUAGGGAAACUUACGCUAAUACCGCAUACGACCUACGGGUGAAAGCAGGGGAUCUUCGGACCUUGCGCGAUUGAACGAGCCGAUGUCGGAUUAGCUAGUUGGCGGGGUAAAGGCCCACCAAGGCGACGAUCCGUAGCUGGUCUGAGAGGAUGAUCAGCCACACUGGAACUGAGACACGGUCCAGGCUCCUACGGGAGGCAGCAGUGGGGAAUAUUGGACAAUGGGCGCAAGCCUGAUCCAGCCAUACCGCGUGGGUGAAGAAGGCCUUCGGGUUGUAAAGCCCUUUUGUUGGGAAAGAAAAGCAGCAGGUUAAUACCCCGCUGUUCUGACGGUACCCAAAGAAUAAGCACCGGCUAACUUCGUG